UUUAUGGAGAGUUUGAUCCUGGCUCAGGAUGAACGCUGGCGGCGUGCCUAAUACAUGCAAGUCGAGCGAACGGACGAGAAGCUUGCUUCUCUGAUGUUAGCGGCGGACGGGUGAGUAACACGUGGAUAACCUACCUAUAAGACUGGGAUAACUUCGGGAAACCGGAGCUAAUACCGGAUAAUAUUUUGAACCGCAUGGUUCAAAAGUGAAAGACGGUCUUGCUGUCACUUAUAGAUGGAUCCGCACUGCAUUAGCUAGUUGGUAAGGUAACGGCUUACCAAGGCAACGAUGCAUAGCCGACCUGAGAGGGUGAUCGGCCACACUGGAACUGAGACACGGUCCAGACUCCUACGGGAGGCAGCAGUAGGGAAUCUUCCGCAAUGGGCGAAAGCCUGACGGAGCAACGCCGCGUG
rnacentral:rRNA from 1 species